rnacentral:rRNA from 1 species
GACGAACGCUGGCGGCGUGCUUAACACAUGCAAGUCGAACGAUGAAGCCUUAGCUUGCUUUGGUGGAUUAGUGGCGAACGGGUGAGUAACACGUGAGCAACGUGCCCAGGACUCUGGAAUAACCGCGGGAAACCGUGGCUAAUACCGGAUAGGUGCCGAGGCCGCAUGGUCUUCGGUUGGAAAGUUUUUGCGGUUCUGGAUCGGCUCACGGCCUAUCAGCUUGUUGGUGGGGUAAUGGCCUACCAAGGCGACGACGGGUAGCCGGCCUGAGAGGGUGACCGGCCACACUGGGACUGAGAGACGGCCCAGACUCCUACGGGAGGCAGCAGUGGGGAAUAUUGCACAAUGGGCGCAAGCCUGAUGCAGCAACGCCGCGUGGGGGAUGACGGCCUUCGGGUUGUAAACCUCUUUUAGUAGGGAAGAAGCGCAAGUGACGGUACCUGCAGAAAAAGCACCGGCUAACUACGUG